UACGGGAGGCAGCAGUGAGGAAUAUUGGUCAAUGGACGAGAGUCUGAACCAGCCAAGUAGCGUGAAGGAUGAAGGUCCUACGGAUUGUAAACUUCUUUUAUAAGGGAAUAAACCCUCCCACGUGUGGGAGCUUGUAUGUACCUUAUGAAUAAGCAUCGGCUAACUCCGUGCCAGCAGCCGCGGUAAUACGGAGGAUGCGAGCGUUAUCCGGAUUUAUUGGGUUUAAAGGGAGCGCAGACGGGUCGUUAAGUCAGCUGUGAAAGUUUGGGGCUCAACCUUAAAAUUGCAGUUGAUACUGGCGUCCUUGAGUGCGGUUGAGGUGUGCGGAA
rnacentral:rRNA from 1 species